rnacentral:lncRNA from 1 species
GGGUGUUAUGGGGCAAAAUAUUUGACCUUGUAUUGUAUGGAAAAACACCAUCCGAACAUUUGACAUGAAUUCCAAAACCUCACCUAAGUACAUUCUUGAGUUUAGAUAAACAACACUCUUGCAUUAGAAUAGUUUGUGUAAUGAUCUGACGGUAUUUUUUUGGGUCGAGUUCCAGGGUAUUUUUAGUUCAUUAACCUACUAGUAUUUCGAAAUUUGACAUAAAUCGAAUUUGGACAUUUCUUUUUUCCUUUUGAAGAAAAAGUCCUAAAUAUAUGAAAGACACAAUUCAACAUAUUCAUCAGGACAGUAAAACUGUAUGCACAAAACAGAAGCAAAUUCAAAUAAUUGAUAACAACAAUUAAAAAAUAAACACCAUGUAAAUGAAUAAACAUCAAAAAGCUGUGCUGUGCCAAAAAAGAAAAAAAGAAAAGCAAAACAUCUUUUAUAUUAUAUGACAGAAGUGCACUCUCUUCAUCUCUUGAUGACAAAUUAAUCAAGGUGUGUGGACUUUUAUUCUAAUUUGUCAGAUUAAAUGCAUUCUCUCCCGUUCUGUAAUGAGUGUUUGUUUGACUUUCAAAAAAUAUUCCAAAUAAAAAAUGACCCUACAAACCUUCAUGUUUUAUUUCUAGUUUUUAUAGUUACGACAUGAAUGACAUACAAGCUAUAUUCUCAUCUAAGAAAAUAACUUCGAGUAUUUAGAGUUACCAUGAUCUGACUUUUUAAAAAAAAACCAUGUACUUACAAUGAGGAUAUGGAUGGGGGUAUAUUCAUUUCAUAUGUAUUCUCACAACUUUUUAUAUGUUAGUUCUCUAUUAUUCUCUUAACCUAUCAACCCAUCUAGAUCCCUUUACAUUUUUACAAAUAUGUAAGUGAUACACUUCAAAAUGUUAUGAUAUAUUUCUAUAUUUAAACAUGUUUAAAACAAUACUUGAGUAAAACAAAACCAGUUCUAAAGAUGGUAUUGAUUUGAACUUUCUGGUAACGAAAAUUAAAAAUGACCCCUAUGUAAGUAACUCGUUCCCAUUUAAAUUUUUAUGUCCAAAAUAUAUGAUAAACGGGACAACUUUAGUAACUCAUUCCCGUGUAACCUUCAUUUUUUAAUAUAUAAUAAACUGGACAGCUUUUGUAACUCAUUCCCACGGUAAAUGUAUGUCUAAAUGUAUGAUAAACGGGAAAACUGUACUCUUCUCUUUUUAUUUUGUUUCUUAACGAUUGCGUUUCAUUCGCUCUUUAAAAAGAAAUUGAAACUAGGAGAGGUGACAAUGACACACACAAGUCAGACUUGAACGACACUGUUAUGGCAAAAUACAAAUACUAAAAACAUUCUACAAAAAAACCCAUAUCAAUUUAGAAAACAAAAAUAAAGAUUAUGCAAUAUGGAAAAAUAAAAAACAUAAAAAAAGAGGUGUGUUGUGUUAUAGAAUAUCUAUGUUUCAACGAUUAAAAGAAUAUUUUAUGAUUAAUUACUUUUGGUGGUUUGUAAACAAUUAUGUAUGUCUACAUUCGUUCCAGGUCAUUAGCUUGAAACGAAACUGAAACAAAUGUCCUCAUUAAUUUUAAAUAAUCAACACUCUUGCAAUGAAAUAGUUUGUAAAUUGAUCUGAGGGUAUAUUUCAUUGAUUGAGGUCAAGUGUGUUUUUAGGGGAGUCACUUACUUCGAAUUUCACAUGAAUUGAAUUUGGUCUUUUGAUUUUCCGUUCGAAGAAAAAGUCCAAAAUCUUUACACGAUACAAUGCAUUAAUCGAACAAUCAUCAGGUCAGGAAAACUAUAUAUACAGUAUAGGAACACAUAUAAAUGGUUGGUAAUCCCAAUUAAAAAAUUAACAUCAAAAAGUAGUAUCGCGCAUAAUUAAAACAAAAAGCAAAACACAUUUUUACAUGACAGUAGUACAUUCUUAACAAAAUGACCAAGGUUUACACUUUAACUUAAAAUCUAGAUUAAACUCUCGCUCUCUCUCUCUCAGUGAAGUUAGUUUGCGUAAGACUUUUAAAAAUAUCUUAAGGUGGUAUGGGAGUCUAAAAUAAAAAUGAUAGAAUUUGUUCAUACUUUGCCAAAACGUAGUAUCUAUUGAUACAUGUUGAAAAAUAUAAUAAAAAUGAUAGGUCACCGUGCAUUUUCUCCAGCUACAGGACGGGACAAAAUGACACAUUUUAU